rnacentral:sRNA from 1 species
CCGUCCGCCCCUCGGAAUGCCCUGCGGCGGAAUCCGGGGUCUUGGCUACGCUGGCCUGGUGUGUACCAGUAGGACCGGCGCACACCAAGCCGACAGCCGUCGCACUCCAGGGAGCACACCCAUG